rnacentral:rRNA from 1 species
UCGGGGACAGCGGUGACAGGUGGUGCAUGGUUGUCGUCAGCUCGUGUCGUGAGAUGUUGGGUUAAGUCCCGCAACGAGCGCAACCCUUGAUCUUAGUUGCCAGCAUUCAGUUGGGCACUCUAAGGUGACUGCCGGUGACAAACCGGAGGAAGGUGGGGAUGACGUCAAAUCAUCAUGCCCCUUAUGACCUGGGCUACACACGUGCUACAAUGGACGGUACAAAGGGCUGCAAACCCGCGAGGGGGAGCCAAUCCCAGAAAACCGUU